UACGAAGGGGGCUAGCGUUGCUCGGAAUCAUUGGGCGUAAAGCGCACGUAGGCGGUCUGUUAUGUCGGAUGUGAAAGCCCUCGGCUCAACUGAGGAAGUGCAUCCGAAACUGGCAGGCUAGAGUACUAAAGAGGGUCGCGGAAUUCCCGGUGUAGAGGUGAAAUUCGUAGAUAUCGGGAGGAACACCAGUGGCGAAGGCGACUUCCUGGCCUGUUCUUGACGCUGAGGCGCGAAAGCUAGGGUAGCAAACGGG
rnacentral:rRNA from 1 species